UCUAAAUAUAAGCGAGAGAUUGAUGAGGGCUUGUUAAAAAAAAAAAAAGAAUGAUCAAAUUUUGCGACGUAGUAGAGGAGAUAAAUUCCGUUCGAAUACCAUUAUCGCGAUCAGUAUUAAGGUCCACGGCAUUAUAUAAGACCCCUAAUUAAGUUGAAAGUAUUACAGAUCGGUGCCUCCUGCAAACCAGCAAGAAUCAUGAAGUUCCUUAUCAUCCUGAGUAUUUGUCUUGCACUGGUACUCUCUGUAGCCUACGGUCGUGGAUUCAGUCAAAUCGGCGGCGGUGGAUUCGGUGUUCGUGGCUACGUCCGCGGUGGAUACGGGCAAAUACCCGGCGGAUACGGGCAAAUACCCGGAUAUGGUGGUGUUUAUGGUCGAAACGCUGGCGGCGAAAUACCCGGAGGAAGCGGUCACCGUUACAGCGGUGGUUAUCAACGGGGCAGCUACGGUCAAUCCGGUCCCCAAGAUGAAUACCUUCGCCGUUAUUUUGGCGGCGUUAGAUCGAACCCGUCAUUAUCAACAUUGUCUUGAAAACAUAUCUGAAGCGUGUUUCUCAUUGUAAUGACAAUAAUUGUUUCUGAUAAAUACAUUGAUAAUUUUCUGUUUAAAGGUCUAAGUUUACUUUACAAAAUAUGUUUAGAACUUUGCGUUACUAAAAACAUGAAGGUUUUGUCCUAUUGUAUACGGCUAUCCAUUUUGGUACAAAUCGAUUCAUGUCACUUUUCUUUCUUUUUCAUCUUUAUGCAAAUAAAAAGUUUGAGUGUUA